CCUACGGGGUGCUGCAGUGGGGAAUAUUGCACAAUGGGCGCAAGCCUGAUGCAGCCAUGCCGCGUGUGUGAAGAAGGCCUUCGGGUUGUAAAGCACUUUCAGCGGGGAGGAAGGCGGUGAGGUUAAUAACCUCAUCGAUUGACGUUACCCGCAGAAGAAGCACCGGCUAACUCCGUGCCAGCAGCCGCGGUAAUACGGAGGGUGCAAGCGUUAAUCGGAAUUACUGGGCGUAAAGCGCACGCAGGCGGUCUGUCAAGUCGGAUGUGAAAGCCCCGGGCUCAACCUGGGAACUGCAUUCGAAACUGGCAGGCUAGAGUCUUGUAGAGGGGGGUAGAAUUCCAGGUGUAGCGGUGAAAUGCGUAGAGAUCUGGAGGAAUACCGGUGGCGAAGGCGGCCCCCUGGACAAAGACUGACGCUCAGGUGCGAAAGCGUGGGGAGCAAACAGGAUGAGAUACCCGAGUAGUC
rnacentral:rRNA from 1 species